ensembl:snoRNA
CUGCGUCCACUGAUAGACCUUGAACAAUUUGCUGUUGUUCUUUUGGUUUGCACCAGGAUGUGAAAGAAAAAUCCCUGCACUUUCUCUUUGUGACAGCCUACAUUGAAUUGGGGAAUACAUUU